rnacentral:rRNA from 1 species
UACAGAGGUCCCAAGCGUUGUUCGGAUUCACUGGGCGUAAAGGGUGCGUAGGUGGCCGGGUAAGUCUGACGUGAAAUCUCCAAGCUCAACUUGGAAACUGCGUCGGAUACUAUCCGGCUAGAGGAUCGGAGGGGAGACUGGAAUACUUGGUGUAGCAGUGAAAUGCGUAGAUAUCAAGCGGAACACCGGUGGCGAAGGCGACCUUCUGGACAGUGACUGACGCUGAGACGCGAAAGCGUGGGGAGCAAACAGG